rnacentral:rRNA from 1 species
CCUUUCGUUGAACCCCUUCCGAUCUCUAGUUCUAAGUACACCAACCUUACCUUAUAGAACCAGAGUUGUGUACUCAUCCACCAAGAGAGAGUCUUUUACAUACAACCUUCACAUCCGUGCAAGACUACCGAGAGAGGUGCUUGCUUCUCACCCACCUCCCCAUAUAUAUCGGAGGUGUGUUUUAGAUUGGCAAUGUGUGUUAAGUGGUUUGAGCCACCCUGGCUUUGUCUUUUGAGCCAGUCUGGCUAAAUCAAGUUUUACACUUGAAAUCCGAAAAGCCACCCUGGCUACACGAUCCCAAUCCCAUGUUGGAGUAGAACCAAACUGGCUAAUGUGUUUGAGCCACCCUGGCUAAAACCAUUACUCGAUUGGUUUCUCAACCAGUUCGUUUGAGCCACUCUGGCUAAUGUAUAGAGUCACUCUGGCUUUAAUAACGUUGUCCUUGGUCUCUCAAACGUCCUGGUAGAGCCACUCUUGCCCUAGGGUAGUCGCUCUGACUUAACUGAUCCCAAAGACCGUCACCAAUACAGUUCAUUUGAGCCACCGCGGCCUAUCUAGUUUAACCAACCCGGCUAAAACUGAAAUCCAAACCCUGUAUACACCUAUACCAUUUCACCAACUCCCGAAACCUCGUAUAGUGAUUCGUGAAACUCGUUCGUUCGGUAAUUCGUUGUGGAGUAGGGGAAAAUUAUCAUAACCGAAAAGGAUAGUUGAGUUACACUAGAACCUAGUGAUUUUACUUUUACAUCUCAGAACUCGAAAACUCGAAAACGGUUAGAAGACAGGAAGCGUAGAACUUCCCCAAGGUGUAGGAGAACAGGUGCGGUGAGGUGUCAACUUGAGUAGACUUUAUAUGAUCCAUCUUCAUAAUCAGGUUGUUCUCUAUACAACUGUAAUUAAUGGUUUUGGUGAGUCCCUCGUGAACACGAAAGUGGCUCUUGGGGCCUAGUCUCCUACCGCCGAGAGGGAGUACUCCCGUAAUAAAACCUCGUUGAUGACCUACCUCCUGCAUUCCUCACCUCGCCACACGUAGAUGGCACAACUGCUGCCACUCUAAGCCGCCACACCGCGUCACCCCAGGGUCACUACCUGCACACUACUACCUAAGUACGUCCCUCCACCGCGACAGACCGCGGUACCACAGCAGCUGUCGUCCGGACCGUUCCAGUUACGCAGUUAUGGCCGAGACUUCUACCUAGUCACCUUCUACCACCGCCGCCGAAGACGUCACACGUGCACGCCACUGGUGACUCUCACGCGGCCUGGCCACACACGGAGUCUGGACCGUUACGCCGAACCAAUCCCGGAGGCCGUAAUCUACAACUAGAAACCACACUCCAUACCCAUAUGCCGAAUCUAUUAGACGUGGGGGAAGAUGUUCAACUAUCCUUAUCGCUACCUAAAACGGCUCUACCACUGAAGUCUGAACAACUACGUAACGAAACAUACCAGAACUACUUGUUAAUUAUUUUAUUGAUCAGCACUUGGGCACGUUGACGUGCCCGAUCGUAUUUUUUUUUUGAUUUUUUCGUACUCAUACUGUUGUACACUUUCAUCAGGAAACACUAUACAUCCCCCUUUGUUUAUUACAGUAACGUCCUAAAGGAGUUAGUGAUUAAUUGAUAUUAUUUCCACGUUAGAAAUCGUUGUUUUUUUUCUGUUUAUUGUAUAUUUAGUCGAUGUAUAUCCCUAUAACAGAACGUACCAUAUCAAUCUUUGCUUGGUUUAUAUCAUCAUUGUAGAUAAAAGUACUUGUUUGGAUCAAAGAACAUUGUUGAGUGUCGGGUUCUUCCAGAGGAGAUUUUUAUUACCCAUAGGACUAUCAUGAGGAUACUAACUAACAAUCAAAAUUCGUAUUCUUUAGUCAAAUUUUAAUAUCUACUCUAGGUUUAUAAAAGUACUAUGAGCUACACAAAUUUCCACAAUAGUCUCCUUAGGGCAUAUGUUAAAGAGGUCAAGACUUCGUGUUACCUAAACUUGGAUGUAAAAACACGCUCUUGGAAAGCUAGGUAAGUAAUAAAAAAACACGCUCUUGGAAAGCUAGAUAAUUAAUAUAUAAAGAGGUCAAGAAAAAAACGCUCUUGGAAAACUAGGUAAGUAAUAAUAAAAAGGAGCUCAAGACCUCGUGUUACCUAAACUUGGAUAUAAAAACAUUUGAAUAAAUACAUCAAAUAAAAAACCGUUAUCUUUCACUUUGAGUUUAUCUGAUAAUUAUUAAAACUUAUUUUAAUUAAGAACGUAUGACUUCGCCUGAGUUAAUUCUGGAUGUCUUCGUAUUAAAUAGAUCGCACAGUUGAUUAUUCUGUUUUUUAUAGCUAAUGCAUCAAAAGGAAAUUAAAGUUGUAGACGUGGUGUUUUAGAAAGAUAAUUUUAAGGAACCUUAGUUAAUAUGAAAAUCUCUAAUUCAAAGUACUUGAACACGGGAGAUUCUGUUUUAUCGUUUUAUAUAAAUGAGAAGGCGAAAAGCAAUAUCUUAAUGUAAGAAAUUAAAUUACAUUUUAUUUACUGCCCUUAACAUAUAUUUGGUAUAUAUAGUAAGCAUACAACGGAACCUCACUUAGAGGUUGAAUAUCCGUAUCUAGCAUUAUAUUAAAAAAUUGACCAACGUUAACGAGGUAGCAUUCCGUAGUGGAAAUGCCCGAUGGUAGGUGUGGUAAAGUUUUUUCUGUUGGUAGUCUAUGGGAGCGUUUUCCGGUAGCAUUCCGUAGUGGAAAUAGAACACUAAGGUCGGUAUGCAUAUCUUCAUCCUGAGUUAUAUUAAUACACAUGCACAUUAGUGUUUUCUUUGUCCUCUUCUUAACAGUCUUUAGGAAAAAUUGCACUGACGGAAAAGAAAACGUAGGUCUAUUAAAAAGACAGGGGUAAUUGGCGAGUAUAACAGAUGAAUUUAGACCGGCAAUAUUGAGCCAAGGUAGUCUAAUUGCCAAGGAUAACAGAUUACUUUAGACCGGCAAUAUUGAGCCAGGGUAGUCUAAUUGCCGAGGAUAAAAGAUUAAUUGCACCAUUAAAAAACCAUAUCCAUAUAUAUCCAUAUCUCCAUAUCUAUCUAUCUAUCUAUCUAACGUACGUAACAGGACUACGUCGGCCUCCAGUAGGAGGAAAAGUUUUUUUUUCUCUCUAUCGUGACCAACUGAAGUCUGAACAACUACGUAACGAAACAUACCAGAACCACUUGUUAAUUAUUUUAUUGAGCAGCACUUGGGCACGUUGACGUGCCCGAUCGUAUUUUUUUUGAUUUUUUCGUACUCAUACUGUUGUACACUUUCAUCAGGAAACACUAUACAUCCCCCUUUCUUUAUUACAGUAACGUCCUAAAGGAGUUAGUGAUUAAUUGAUAUUAUUUCCACGUUAGAAAUCGUUGUUUUUUUCCGUUUAUUGUAUAUUUAGUCGAUGUAUAUCCCUAUAACAGAACGUACCAUAUCAAUCUUUGCUUGGUUUAUAUCAACAUUGUAAAUAAAAGUACUUGUUUGGAUCAAAGAACAUUGUUGAGUGUCGGGUUCUUCCAGAGGAGAUUUUUAUUACCCAUAGGACUAUCAUGAGGAUACUAACUAACAAUCAAAAUUCGUAUUCUUUAGUCAAAUUUUAAUAUCUACUCUAGGUUUAUAAAAGUACUAUGAGCUACACAAAUUUCCACAAUAGUCUCCUUAGGGCAUAUGUUAAAGAGGUCAAGACUUCGUGUUACCUAAACUUGGAUAUAAAAACACGCUCUUGGAAAGCUAGGUAAGUAAUAAAAAAACACGCUCUUGGAAAGCUAGAUAAUUAAUAUAUAAAGAGGUCAAGAAAAAAACACUCUUGGAAACUAGGUAAGUAAUAAUAAAAAGGAGUUCAAGACCUCUUGUUACCUAAACUUGGAUAUAAAAACAUUUGAAUAAAUACAUCAAAUAAAAAACCGUUAUCUUUCACUUUGAGUUUAUCUGAUAAUUAUUAAAACUUAUUUUAAUUAAGAACGUAUGACUUCGCCUGAGUUAAUUCUGGAUGUCUUCGUAUUAAAUAGAUCGCACAGUUGAUUAUUCUGUUUUUUAUAGCUAAUGCAUCAAAAGGAAAUUAAAGUUGUAGACGUGGUGUUUUAGAAAGAUAAUUUUAAGGAACCUUAGUUAAUAUGAAAAUCUCUAAUUCAAAGUACUUGAACACGGGAGAUUCUGUUUUAUCGUUUUAUAUAAAUGAGAAGGCGAAAAGCAAUAUCUUAAUGUAAGAAAUUAAAUUACAUUUUAUUUACUGCCCUUAACAUAUAUUUGGUAUAUAUAGUAAGCAUACAACGGAACCUCACUUAGAGGUUGAAUAUCCGUAUCUAGCAUUAUAUUAAAAAAUUGACCAACGUUAACGAGGUAGCAUUCCGUAGUGGAAAUGCCCGAUGGUAGGUGUGGUAAAGUUUUUUCUGUUGGUAGUCUAUGGGUGCGUUUUCCGGUAGUUAAAUUAUACACCGAUCUAUAAUUAUCAAAAUUUGAUGAUAAAAAAUAACCAUUGUACUGCUUCAGCUAGGAAAACAGGUGAUAUAUGGUAGACU